AACGAACGCUGGCGGCAGGCUUAACACAUGCAAGUCGAGCGCCCCGCAAGGGGAGCGGCAGACGGGUGAGUAACGCGUGGGAAUCUACCGUGCCCUACGGAAUAGCUCCGGGAAACUAGAAUUAAUACCGUAUACGCCCUACGGGGGAAAGAUUUAUCGGGGUAUGAUGAGCCCGCGUUGGAUUAGCUAGUUGGUGGGGUAAAGGCCUACCAAGGCGACGAUCCAUAGCUGGUCUGAGAGGAUGAUCAGCCACAUUGGGACUGAGACACGGCCCAAACUCCUACGGGAGGCAGCAGUGGGGAAGAUUGGACAAUGGGCGCAAGCCUGAUCAGCCAUGCCGCGUGAGUGAUGAAGGUCUUAGGAUUGUAAAGCUCUUUCACCGGUGAAGAUAAUGACGGUAACCGGAGAAGAAGCCCCGGCUAACUUCGUGCCAGCCGCCGCCGUAA
rnacentral:rRNA from 1 species